rnacentral:tRNA from 1 species
AAAACCUUAAGUUAAUACAAACUAUUAACCUUCAAAGUUAAAUAUAUAUUAUAAAUAAUUUAGGUUUUA